rnacentral:rRNA from 1 species
UGAGGAAUAUUGGUCAAUGGACGAGAGUCUGAACCAACCAAAUCGCGUGAAGGAAGACUGCCCUACGGGUUGUAAACUUCUUUUGUACAGGAAUAAAAGACAUUACGUGUAAUGUAUUGCAUGUACUGUACGAAUAAGCAUCGGCUAACUCCGUGCCAGCAGCCGCGGUAAUACGGAGGAUGCGAGCGUUAUCCGGAUUUAUUGGGUUUAAAGGGUGCGUAGGCGGCGAUAUAAGUCAGUGGUGAAAUAUUUCGGCUUAACCGAGAGACUACCAUUGAUACUGUGUUGCUAGAAUAUGGUUGCUGUGAGUGGAAUGUGUGGUGUAGCGGUGAAAUGCUUAGAUAUCACACAGAAUAUCGAUUGCGAAGGCAGCUCACAAAGCCAUUAUUGACGCUGAGGCACGAAAGUGUGGGGAUCAAACA